CUCAUACUAUGCGUAGCCUACCUACAUUUAAAACGAAUUGUUGACGCCUCAAGGUGAAAACUUGUGUCGGAAGUCAACGCCCUCAUCCGUCUGCGGGGGACUUUUAUUUAACAACUUCCUGUCCGUCAGUUUGCCAGUACGUGUUGUUCUGUUCUCGAAUCUGGAUUAGACGCCGCUGCGCUCGCUCUCAAAACCCAAAUUUAACGAAGAUUUAUCAGUGUUUUUCAACUUCAUCAGCAUACCACCGAUAUUUAAUUUAAUAAACAUGGACCAGAUGGAAGACCCCGCUGGAUCAGAUAAUAAACGAGCUAUAGAGCGGAAAAGGAGUUGAAGAUGCCAAAGGAAGACUUCAGAGAGAACAAGCUUUCAACAUCCAUCACUUCGUCCCUCCUCUCAUCCCCUAAACAUCAGACACCGGUGGAAACGGCCUUGGUUUAGCCAGAGACCUCCCCCCAAUACUCCAUUUAAGUCCAGCAGUUUCAUCACAAGCGUUUCGAUGGGAGGUAAUGAAGGAGGUGGACGGGGAGGAGAGCGAUGGAGCCUCUUCGGGGUGCGGCCUGUCGUGCAGAAAUCCCCCACUGACCCAGGAUCAGAAACCAACAAACCUG